CUCAGACCAUCACUACAAAUCGUAAUAGCCGGAUUUAUCAAUACAUGUACUGUACCCUAAUCCUUGGGAGAAUUCUGUUUUCAGAUUUGCACGAGCAUUUAAAUGUUAAGGGACAAACUUCCGUUUAUUCCUUUGACGGAGUGAUUUACAGAAAACAAUGGUAGAAAAGUGGGUAAUUGAAGAUGUUUGGGAACGGCUUGAGGAAAUUCAUCUGAGUGACGCAAAAGAAACGUUCAAAGGAACCAACAAGUCCCAACCCCACCAUCAUUUUCCAUGGAGCAACAAAUCCCAUUGAAGCAGAAAAGAUCAGCAUCAAGAUGGACGUGACAAUUCUAAAUGCACAAAUGGAUGUGGCCAGAGCAUUGGAGUGUCUUUUUGGGGUUUACUUCCUUUUUGGAGUGGAGUACCCCAAACCUAUCACACACUAACAUUUAUGGAACGCUACUUGUUUAGACUAAAACACAGAAAGGAUUUCUAUCCCAGUACUGAAGAUGUACAAUACAUUUUGAAAGAAAGUUUAAAAAGGUAGUCUAGAGAUGAAAAGGUGUUUAAAAAAUUCAUAGUUUUUUGUGUUUUAAUUCACACAAGCAUUUUAUUUUUUUACUGUCGUGAACUUGUU
ensembl:lncRNA